rnacentral:rRNA from 1 species
AACGCUAGCUACAGGCUUAACACAUGCAAGUCGAGGGGUAGCAGGAUCUAGCAAUAGAUUGCUGACGACCGGCGCACGGGUGAGUAACACGUAUCCAACCUUCCCAUUACUUGGGGAUAGCCUUUCGAAAGAAAGAUUAAUACCCGAUGGUAUCGAGUUUUCGCAUGAUUUUCCGAUUAAAGAAUUUCGGUAAUGGAUGGGGAUGCGUUUCAUUAGAUUGUUGGUGGGUAACGGCCCACCAAGUCUUCGAUGAAUAGGGGUUCUGAGAGGAAGGUCCCCCACACUGGUACUGAGACACGGACCAGACUCCUACGGGAGGCAGCAGUGAGGAAUAUUGGUCAAUGGGCGCAAGCCUGAACCAGCCAAGUAGCGUGAAGGAUGACCGCCCUCUGGGUUGUAAACUUCUUUUCUAUAGGAAUAAAGUGAGCUACGUGUAGCUUUUUGUAUGUACUAUAUGAAUAAGCAUCGGCUAACUCCGUGCCAGCAGCCGCGGUAAUACGGAGGAUGCGAGCGUUAUCCGGAUUUAUUGGGUUUAAAGGGUGCGUAGGCGGACUUUUAAGUCAGCUGUGAAAGUUUGCGGCUCAACCGUAAAAUUGCAGUUGAUACUGGGGGUCUUGAGUAUAGUGGAGGUUAGCGGAAUUCGUGGUGUAGCGGUGAAAUGCUUAGAUAUCACGAAGAACUCCGAUUG